rnacentral:rRNA from 1 species
GACGAACGCUGGCGGCGUGCUUAACACAUGCAAGUCGAACGGAAAGGCCCUGCUUGCAGGGUACUCGAGUGGCGAGCGGGUGAGUAACACGUGGGUGAUCUGCCCUGCACUUCGGGAUAAGCUUGGGAAACUGGGUCUAAUACCGGAUAGGAGCCAUCUUUAGUGUGGUGGUUGGAAAGUUUUUUCGGUGUAGGAUGAGCUCGCGGCCUAUCAGCUUGUUGGUGGGGUAAUGGCCUACCAAGGCGGCGACGGGUAGCCGGCCUGAGAGGGUGUACGGCCACAUUGGGACUGAGAUACGGCCCAGACUCCGACGGGAGGCAGCAGUGGGGAAUAUUGCACAAUGGGCGCAAGCCUGAUGCAGCGACGCCGCGUGGGGGAUGAAGGCCUUCGGGUUGUAAACUCCUUUCGCUAGGGACGAAGCUUUUUUGUGACGGUACCUAGAUAAGAAGCACCGGCUAACUACGUG